rnacentral:lncRNA from 10 species
CCAGGCUGGCACACUGUGGCCAGCCACCCGGCUCCACUGACUGGCGGUUUCGUGUCUGGCUCCCUGAGGUCCAGAUGGUCCCAACACGUCCCUGGGGGGUAAGCAGACUCCUGCCCAAACUUGAACUCACAGCUCCAGCCCCCAGAGGCUCCGAGCCAGGACCCCAAAGGAGGGAGGAGGAAGUCCCAUGAAGAAAUAAAGAACAUGUGGUGAAUCACAGAGAAGUGGCUGAAAAGAUUCAAGCCUCAACCUUGGUCCUCCCUAGUCACAUGACCACAGGCAAACCUCUUCUCUCUCAGCCUCAGUUUUUGCAUCAGUGCAAUAGGAAUGGUAUCUGCCAUGCUAACCUCACAGGACUGCUGUGUGUUCAGAUGAAUCAGGACAAGUGUUUCCAAAUACCCUGGCGACAUCACUUCAUUAAUGCUAAUGGGAAGUC